rnacentral:rRNA from 1 species
AGAGUUUGAUCCUGGCUCAGAACGAACGCUGGCGGCAUGCCUAACACAUGCAAGUCGAACGAGACCUUCGGGUCUAGUGGCGCACGGGUGCGUAACGCGUGGGAAUCUGCCUUGGGGUACGGAAUAACUCAGAGAAAUUUGAGCUAAUACCGUAUGAUGUCUUCGGACCAAAGAUUUAUCGCCCUGAGAUGAGCCCGCGUAGGAUUAGCUAGUUGGUGGGGUAAAGGCCUACCAAGGCGACGAUCCUUAGCUGGUCUGAGAGGAUGAUCAGCCACACUGGGACUGAGGCACGGCCCAGACUCCUACGGGAGGCAGCAGUGGGGAAUAUUGGACAAUGGGCGAAAGCCUGAUCCAGCAAUGCCGCGUGAGUGAUGAAGGCCUUAGGGUUGUAAAGCUCUUUUACCCGGGAAGAUAAUGACUGUACCGGGAGAAUAAGCCCCGGCUAACUCCGUGCCAGCAGCCGCGGUAAUACGGAGGGGGCUAGCGUUGUUCGGAAUUACUGGGCGUAAAGCGCACGUAGGCGGCUUGGUAAGUUAGAGGUGAAAGCCUGGAGCUCAACUCCAGAAUUGCCUUUAAGACUGCCGAGCUAGCAGGUGAGAGAGGUGAGUGGAAUUCCGAGUGUAGAGGUGAAAUUCGUAGAUAUUCGGAAGAACACCAGUGGCGAAGGCGGCUCACUGGCUCAUACUGGACGCUGAGGUGCGAAAGCGUGGGGAGCAAACAGGAUUAGAUACCCUAGUAGUCC